UUAAUUCGAUGCAACGCGAAGAACCUUACCUACCCUUGACAUCCUGCGAAUCCCGAUGAGAGUUGGGAGUGCCGAAAGGAACGCAGAGACAGGUGCUGCAUGGCUGUCGUCAGCUCGUGUUGUGAGAUGUUGGGUUAAGUCCCGUAACGAGCGCAACCCUUGUCCUUAGUUGCCAGCAAGUAAAGUUGGGGACUCUAAGGAGACCGCCGGUGAUGAACCGGAGGAAGGCGGGGACGACGUCAAGUCAUCAUGGCCUUUAUGGGUAGGGCUACACACGUGCUACAAUGGGGCGUACAGAGGGUAGCCAACCCGCGAGGGGGAGCCAAUCUCUUAAAGCGUCUCGUAGUCCGGAUUGGAGUCUGCAACCCGACUCCAUGAAGUUGGAAUCGCUAGUAAUCGCGAAUCAGCAACGUCGCGGUGAAUACGUUCCCGGGCCUUGUACACACCGCC
rnacentral:rRNA from 1 species